UGUCUGGAGAAGAAGGAUUUCUUCCAGAACCAGGACAAGUUCUGGGGCCGGCUGGAGCGUUAUCUGCCCACACAUAGCAUCUGCUCCUUGCCUUUCGUCACGUCCUUCUGCCUGGGCAUGGGUGCACGGAGGGUCUGCUAUGGCCAGGAAGAGGCGGUGGGGCCCUGGUACCACCUGAGCGCCCAGGAGAUCCAGCCCUUGUUUGGAGAACACAGGCUGGGAGGGGAUGGCCGGGGCUGGGUGAGGACGCACUGCUGCCUGGAGGAUGCCUGGCAUGGAGGCAGCUCCCUGCUCGUCCGGGGUGUGAUCCCACCGGAGGUUGGAAAUGUGGCUGUGAGGUGGGUGAGUGACGGAGGACGGUGGGCUCACCAGCUUCUCCCAUCACACGUGGUGGCCAUGGAACUGGACAGAUGGGGCAGUGGAGGCCAGAACAAGGACAGAGGACAGACUCAGAUGGGUUUUUAAAAAUUGUGGUCAAAAAUGCAUUAACAUGAAAUUCACCAUCUUAACCCUGUUGAAGUGAACAGUACAGGAGUGUUAACUCUGCGUACGUUGCUACGUGACAGAUCCCUAGAACUGUGUCAUCUUGUAGGACUGGACUCUCCCCAUUGCACAUUAGCC
rnacentral:sRNA from 1 species